UCGGGUAGUUACCGACAUCCAACAACCAGGGUUGACCUGGUUGCAACGUGCUAUGGGAAACCAAAGCUCAUUUACUUUUUGACAUAAGCAAAUUGCUUGGCUUAUGACAAUUAAUGUUUAUCAUUGAUGUUUAUCAUUAUCAAUGAUGGCAAUGCAUUUUUCUAUCAAGUAUAACAGAGUUUCGCUUGCGUGGAUUGAGAGAUGUUAAACAGUAUUAAAGGGUCUGCUAUCGAUUUUUUUGUUUGGUAAUGGGAAGUUUGUUGUGUAUCAGGAGUUAAGUGAUUUUGAAUUUUUUAACUUAAUAAAUCAUUCUUAUAUUUAGUAAUCUCUAAUGGGUUUUUUAGUUAUGGUGCUAAAUAUCUAAUGCAUUUUCAUUUAUUUUUUAUUGCAAGGUUUUAACAAUAAUGGCAAUUUGCUACUGUGGAUAUUUAUGUUAAAGACCUCAAGAUUAUAUUUAUUAAUUCAGUUAAACAACAUGAUGAAAACUACAUGGUUGCUUCAGUGGAUGUUGAUCUUUUUCAUAUCAAGAUUAAACCGAUAUCAUUGGAUGUGGUUUCCUUUGCGUACUAAAGAAUCGACUCUUUCUAUCUAUGGAUGUCACAGUUUUGUUUGCUUCAAAAUCUAGGCUUUUUUCAAAGCCACAAUUCUGUUAAAAACAUUACUGAGCAAAAAAAAAAUUUUUUUGUUAAAGAAGUGUAUUUUAAAAUAGUUUUAGUUUUUGCGGUUUGUUGGAAUUUAUAUAUAAUUAGAUAUAUGGGGCUAUGGAAGGGAAAAGGAAGGGGAGCAGUGGUGGACA
rnacentral:lncRNA from 1 species